rnacentral:lncRNA from 1 species
AUGUUCACCACCAGCAAGCCGUUCUGCUCUGCAGCACCGCCGGGAGGUCGCAACUCGCCAGCUGCUCAGCAAGGCCCCGGUGCCCAUCCAUCAGCAUGUUCACCACCAGCAAGCCGUUCUGCACUCCUGAGGAGCCCCUGCAGGGACGAAGCCAUGCAGGCGCUCUCCUCCCCCAGGCACAGAGCCUCCCCUGAACCCACAAGCCGCCUGCCUGCCGUGCUCAUUCCUCCCCACUGCGGAGGGUCCCCCCAGCCCCAGCUGCUGUCUGCACUCUGCUCCUACCCUGGGACCCUCUGCAUGGUGCUCAGGGCAGCAGGGAUAGUACUCAGCAGACUGGCAGAGCCCUCGCUGGAGGCAGAGCCGAUGCUGGCAAAGAUCUCCCGCAUCAUCUGCACGUCAGCAUGGUUCCAGGACAAGGACUUCCCACCUCCUGGCUCACCAUCUGCAGCUCCCACCAGCACCUUCAGGGCCUGCGAAGUCAGCAGCGGUCCAGAGGGCAGUGGAUAUCUCCACCACACCUGGGUGAGCCUGCACACUGCCUGCCCACAUACAGCAUCCCCUCUGCCACUCACCGCCAGGCCAGCCUGCUGCACCAGGGCGGAGGAGCUGUGCUGCUGCAUGCAGGCCAGCACGGCCCGCACGCCACCCUCCGUGGCAAACGGCACACGCCAGUCGUGCUGUGCCAUCAGCACGGCCAGCAGCCGCAGCGUCACCGCCACCAGCGCCUUCUCUGCCACCUCAGUGCUCAGCAGCUCCACUGCCACUUGCACCAGCUUCUCCCUGCUCAGGAAAGGAUACCUCAGGAGGAGCCUCCUGGCACUGCCACUGGCACACCAGCACCUUGGGCCCUGCCAGCCACCUCCUCUCUGCCCACACGGCUCUGCCUCAGCUGGGUCAGCCCAAGGAAUGAGCCUGCCUGAGACAAAGGGACACAAAAUCCACUUUCCUCUUGCCAAGCAUGCAGGGACAUACCAGUCUGCACACUCCCACUGCCACCUCCGGUACUCCCAGCUCCAGUACUGUCCCCCACCGUGCCGACACAGCCCUCCCCAGGCAGCAGGAGGGGUGUGCAGCACCCCACGGCUCACCCAGCGCUCCUGGUCCCCAGCCUGCCCUGGGCUGUGCCAACUUGCUGCUCGGACUUGGGCUCCUCCUCCAGGAUCUUCAAGAUUUGCUUGAGCCCAGCUAAGCGCAGCCCCACCGCUGAGCUGCUGCUCUCGAUCACGUCCACCAUGGCUGCAAUCUCGGCCAACGAGCCGCUCUCGCUCACCCCUUUGGAGCUGCCCAACACUGGCCAGAGGGAGGGAGGCAUCAGGCAGCAGUAACACCCCCAGCAGCUCCCAGGGUGCCAUGCACUCACAAAACCAGCACCCACAGGCACCCCACCAGCUGCCUGGCCCCCCAUGCCCUGCCCAGAACCUUCCUUUCUUGAGGCAACGGUGCCACUUCCAGCACUGCGUGUGCACCCCAGCACAUAGCAGGACAUUACCUUUGAUCUGCUCCUCCGUCACCUCUGGGAAGCACAGCCCUUCACUCCUAAGGAGCUCGCUGAACAGCUGGGAAUCGGACUUCACUGCCACACUGGGGGCUUGGGGCGGCACUGCGGCUGCAGAAAGGUCUUCCUUUGCUGCCUUGGCCAUCGUGGCUUCACGGCCAAUGCUCCUGCAGCCACUGCCCUCUGAGGACACUGCGGUGCUCCCCCCACCAUCCUGCUCAGCUCCCCUACUGAGGAAGUAUCUGGCAUAGACGCGGCAGCCACGCAGGUCACGCAGAGUGCUGCCCUGGCACCGCUUCUCCAAGACCUGCAGCACCUUCUGGGCCAGCUCCGCAGGUACCGACAGCUGGAUCAAGGCUUCUUCAUCCACCUCCAACAGCCAGACCAAUGGGGCCAAGUUAAUCUUGGACUCGCCACAGCCCUCAUGCCCCUUGUGACAGCCAGUGGCAGAACUGAUGGAAAGGCUGCACCGUUGGAGGUCCCUGGGGCCACUUCCCAGUGCCACCCUGGCUGUCCCCAACCCAACUGCCACCAGCCCAGACCUCCCACCUGCACUCACCACCCAACUGCAACUGGUAGAAUGACCCCAUGGCCUUGCCUCACCUACCCAAACCUCACUGGACAGUCACUCUUCCAGUCAUGGGAGACUGCAUUUCCUCUCAUCUCCCCUCAUAGCUUUGCUGG